rnacentral:rRNA from 1 species
UACGUAGGGUGCGAGCGUUGUCCGGAAUUAUUGGGCGUAAAGGGCUCGUAGGCGGUUUGUCGCGUCGGGAGUGAAAUCCACUGGCUUAACUGGUGGCUUGCUUUCGAUACGGGCAGACUGGAGGUAUGCAGGGGAGAACGGAAUUCCUGGUGUAGCGGUGAAAUGCGCAGAUAUCAGGAGGAACACCGGUGGCGAAGGCGGUUCUCUGGCAAUGUUCUGACGCUGAGGAGCGAAAGUGUGGGGAGCGAACAGG